UCUUAUGCACAUGCCUACAACAUAGUGUUAAUGCACCAGAUCCCAUAAGAACUUCAAAGUUAAGCGCGCUCGGGCUAGAGUAGUACUGAGAUGUUUGACCACUCAAAAAGUCCUAGUACUUUAUAUGCC
rfam:Picea glauca, whole genome shotgun sequence.